rnacentral:misc_RNA from 1 species
GAUGAAGAACGCAGCGAAAUGCGAUAAGUAGUGUGAAUUGCAGAAUUCAGUGAAUCAUCGAAUCUUUGAACGCACAUUGCGCCCGCCAGCACUCUGGCGGGCAUGCCUGUUCGAGCGUCAUUUCAACCAUCAAGCCCCAGGCUUGCGUUGGAGCCCUGCGGCUGCCGCAGCCUCCUAAAAGCAGUGGCGGGCUCGCUAUCACACCGAGUGCAGUAGAUUACUCUUCGCUCAGGGCGUGCAGCGGGUUCCGGCCGUGAAACCCCCUACUUUUAAAGGUUGACCUCGGAUCAGGUAGGAAUACCCGCUGAACUUAAGCAUAUCAAUAAGCGGAGGA